rnacentral:lncRNA from 1 species
AAUUAGCCGGGCUUGGUGGUGGGCACCUGUAGUCCCACCUACUAGGAGGCUGAGGGAGGUGAAUCGCUUGAACCCAGGAGGCGGAUGUUGCAGUGAGCAAGAUCUUGGCAUUGCACUCCAGCCUGGGUGACAGAGCGAGACUCCGUCAAAAAAAAAACAACAAAAACAAACAAACAAAAAACAAAAAAAACCCUAAACAGUGCUGGGGACAGGCACCACAACUUAACAGGGCAUCUGCCCUGUGAAGCCACAGAGGUAGGUGGUGGGUGUCUUGAGGUGGGGGGAGAAAGGCAAGAUUGCUGCUGGGCAAAGUGGAGACAGUGAGGUUCAAGCCACCAUGCGUCCCAGCAGGUGUGGAGGUCACACCACUCAGCAGGUGGAGGAUGCACCGUCACCCACUGUGAGGCAGGGACCUUCCUGUGGGUUCACAGAGGAGCCCUCCAGCAAUGGAGUAACACUGCAGCUGGCUGCUCUGCUCAGGGUCGCAGCCCAGGGUAGAGUGGAAGACAGAGGAGCAGGCUGGUGAGGACAGGCUGCUGAAGGCUUCCACUUUAGUCUUCACAUCUAACUCGGGGCGGCUUCAUAGCAGGGAGAUAGUCAGCAAGAACUUCCAAAUCAUUUUCAAAGUCUAUCAGGAACAUUUCUGGCUCAGAAUCUCACGCUCCCUCCUUUCCAGAGCUACGUUCCUUUGUAUUUUCUAUAGAAGCAGACGUAGGAUCUAAGCAUAUGUCUCUGAGGGUGCCUGGACUAAGAAAUCCAGGAGAUUCAGUGAAGAAUUGUGUUAUGUUUUUUUUUUUUUUUUUUUUUUUUUUUUUUUUUUUUUUUUUUUGUCGUAUGCUUGGCAGAGAGCAGGUAAUUGGGCCCAUCAUUAUUUAGGGCUAAAAAUUUGUUGAUUUGAGAUUUUUUGGGAUUGGCUAAAACCUACUUCAGAACAACAUGGGAAGGAAAAGAAAAGCUAUCUUUGUUUCAGGAAUGCCGGGCUUCAGCUUCCCUGGUGAGUAAAUGAAGAAACUGCCUGCGACUGCUUGGCCUCAGACUGCCUUGCGAAGGCUCCUUCUGGCACAAUUUGGGCUUUGAACUUCUCCCUUAAUUUCUGAAUCUGUGUUGUGAUAAUUGGCUUUGGAAAGGUUACGAGAGGUUGACUCUGGCCUGACACGGAGGCUCUAGCCAAUGCCAGAGAGGUAGGCUUGGUGCCAGAGCUCACCUCAGACCCACAUCUCCAGGGAGUGACAGGAACAGAAAAUCAGCCAAGCUACUGUGACCCAGUCGUUCAGCAAAUGUCGGAGCGUUGCAAUGCCUGCCCCCACCCUACCCCAGAGCAAGGCUGGGCACCUGAACACUGUGUGGGGUACUCUGCGUCUGUGCUCUGGGGAAGGGGGCUGUGAAAUUCACCUGGAGAUCUGUUUUAAGACCUGCGCUUUCGAAAUGCUCUCAAACUCUUUUAUCAAGACAGUACAGCUUGGACAAAUGUCCACAAUAGAGAAGCAGUGACAUCCCUUGGACCUCCGGGAACAGCAGCCCUGUCUGUCUCUGAACGGGCCUUCCUCCCUCAGGCUCCUCUCACCCCUCGGGGCUGCCCUCAGGGGAGGAUGGCCUCACCCAGUGAAGGUUAACUGGGCCCUUUGUUUGCAAAUGGCAGGACAGGAGCUGGUGCUAGCUGAUCAUGAGGCUUUUUACAGCAUCAAAGUGCUGCAGUUUACUAAGAAAUCAGGAAAGCAUAUUCCAAAACAGGGUUGUCUUCUAGGAAGGAACAGAGAGGACUCUGCCUUUCUACUUUCAGGCAUCCAGCCCUGUAUGCUCCACCAGGGUAUCUGUGAGGAGAGGCAGCGUGAGCAGGCCCAGUGGAAGCAGGGAUGGAGAAGGAGGGGUCUCCCAUAACUCACUGCAGAUGCUGAGUAUAAUUAAAAUGUGAAUUACAUGUGUCUAACAUGGUAAAGAGGCUCAGGUAACUGAGCGAGGUUUUCUCCUUGAAGGUAGAAAUGUCUGUGUAAGGAGGUCAUUCCACCUUUUGGGCUACCUUUAAAUGAGUGUUUUUGAAGUGGUAUUCUUUAAAAAAAAUUUUUUUAAAUGCAAUCUGUCCUUGUUCUCUUUAAAGCAAAUAUCUACAGAGAUGUUUAUCACAUUAUCAUACCUCUGGUUGGAAACAAUAUUUUUGACUUGAUGGAUUUUAUAUUUUCACUAUUAGAAGCUACUCCUUUAUUCCCAAGUAUAAAAUUCUAGCUUCAAAGUAAAUGCUUGGCCAAUCAACACCAAAUAAGGCAGGAAAAAAAAAAAAAAAACGCAGAAAACUCACAAAGCCUCAGAUUAUAAGGGGCCUAGUCAGGUUUCAGAAACUCUAGUCCAAACAGGCAUUCCUAACCUAGCCCAGGCAGCUCUUACCUCAGGCACUUAGCAACGCGCAGGCCUUUUGAAUUUGCUUAAAACUAUUAAGAAGUAAUUAAGUAGUUAGAGGGUCUUUUUCAGCCCUGAGGUCCAGGAGGUGGGCUAAAUGAAAGAAAACAAGCGCAAUCGCUCAGCCUUGUCUUCCUUCUAGCUGACCUUGCACGCUAAUAAAUUCAUCCUGUAUUUUUCUGCUACUGCCAAUUUAUGGCCUACAGGAAACUAAUCUUGUACAAUAACUACCUUCCUGUACUUAGUUCCUAAAUAGAGCCAAAUGGAUUUGGUGGCGGAAGAGCUCCCCAGCACUUCCUGUGAGGCAGUUGCUGAGCCCAGCAAGAUCUGAUAGAGGCUUGAUGCGCUUAUCGACUCUGACGAUAUAAUUAUGUUCUUGUUUUGGCUGCCCUGCACUUAAGCACAGAAAAUAAAAAAGCAAUCCUCUGUACAACGCCUACCACAAUGAUUUAAACUUCAAACUGGAGGGUAAGAUGUGUAUUUGAAACAAGCCACGUAGGCACAGUUAUGGUGAAUUUAGGGAGUGAAACACACAGGUGAUCAAUAUUUCACUGGAGUCUUUGAUAUAAAAUAUAUAUCUGCUCUGUGAUUUCAAAAUAUUCACAAAGGAGUAAAUUUUUUAAUGAGCUAAUGAAAGAACUGUGUUUUCAUUUCAAACGGGAAGAGAGGGAGAAAGAGAGAGAGAAUAGAAAUAUAGAGCCAUUUCUUCAGUAAUAGUUUACAACCAGUUUGCCACAGGCUUGGAUUAAAGUAAGGAAAGGCUGUCAAAACGCAGGGUAACCUGUGUGAUAUCUUUUCAGACCCUCAAAUAGCUCAAAUACUACGCUGGGAAAACUCAGAGUUUGUCCUUUAAAGAACCUGAAAGUGUUUAAUCUUUGAUAAGUGCAGGCUCCUCAGGCUUUGCCGCUUCCCCACACCGGAUUUGCCUGCCACUCACCCAUACCGAUCUGAUGACUUCAUGUGGACACGGAUCGGUCCCGUAUGACAGCGUCUUCUUCCUGUGCUCAUUUAUUCUAGAACUAUAGCAAAGCUGCUAAUGCAAAGGGAAGCCUUCUACAAAAAGGAUGAAGAAAUCACCCUGACCAAGAGACCGAAGCAAAGAUGAAAGGAAGGCAUAAAUAAUCGCAGCUCGGGUCCGAUGAGACUUAUUGCUGGGGCUUUCAGACCUAGAGAGGUAGCAGGGGCGGGGUGGGGGUGCCUGUACGCGGGGGCGGGGUGUCCCACCCAGUUGACCUGGAUUAGAGCCCAUGGGGCUGCAUUCCGGGCUUCCGUGUUUCCCAAAGUUAUGUGGUGGCGGGGGGCCUGGCUGUUAAGGAUCUGGGGAUGUGGUUACCUAUGGCCUCUGAGGGUGACACCAGCUGUCCAGCACUGUGAAAUCAAACAAUGGUAGUGGGCCAGAAAGAUGGCUUAGCUUCCUCCUGAGUAUGAGCAAGUUUCCGUAACUGUGAAUCAUCCUUCCCCAACCAUAAAAGUGGGCAUAUUAAUACCUGUCUUGUAAGAAUCCUGUGAAGAUCAGGGAUAACAAAUGCAACUUAAUAAAAGUAACCUGUUAUGUGUUGGCUGGUGAUGCCAUAAAUGUAUUUUGUAAAAUCUUUAUAAUGGUGACUAACCAAUAUAUUAUUAUUAAUAGCAAUAGGAGUAUUGUCUGAUUCAAAGGGCGCAUUUAGAUUGUGGUAAUUCUGUGUGUGGCUGGAUGGGAGACUGGAGGGGGCUGGAGGUUUUAGGAUGAGUGGGACAGGGAUUAUUAGAAGUGGCUAAUAAAGAGAUCAAAGAAGUAACUUUGUUCCUAAUUUUUAAAAUCAUCAUUCUACCUCACUCUCCUAAAAGUGAUGAGGAUCAUAAUAUUUAUGCCUUACGUUUAUACAGGACUUUAUACUUGAAUAUCCCUUUUACAUCUCUGGUCCGUUUUAGAAAUUUGAGCCUAAACAUGGGAAGCAGAAAAAAAGUCAAUGUGGAAAAGCACUGUGCCCAUCCCAGUUUGGCCAGAAUGAUUUCAGAUUGUUAUCAAGAAAGGGAAUAGCGGCAGCAUGGUUUGGUUUUCCUCUCUCAAGAGGACUGGACACAGGGAAGGAACAGGAAAAAACCUCCUGAGCAAAGCAAGGUUCCAGAACAGACUAGUUCAAAGCCUACACAUGGUUAGUGCUCCGUGGAGGUGCCAGCUCACGG